GCAAACCCACUGUGUGCCUGGCGCCCUUGCGGGCAUCCCAGAUUUUUGCCCACAUCCCUCUGUUCCACCCAGAGGCCACCUGCGUGCAGGCAUGGUGGAUGGUUGCUGUGUGCAGUGAUGGCCUCCUGGGAACUCUUGCUGGCCACGGAGUUAACCAGGAGGGACCAUCAACCUCGGAAGGCCCAGCUCCAUGAUGAUGCCUCUCUCCAGAGACCUCCUGACCUCCUGACCUGCACAGCCCGGGAGGCCACAGCCCACAGCCGCUGCCCCAGGUGUCCACAAGCAUCUCAGCCCCUCCACAGCCCACGCAUCUCCUCUUUCAUUGGCUCAUGGGGAGUGAAGGACAAUGUCUGAAUUAAAUGCCGUGCUUUAAACUGAAAGGGAAACUUAGCAAAUAAAUGAGAGUAACAACACUAGA
rnacentral:lncRNA from 1 species